CAUGAAUGGGCGGAGGCGCCCUCGCGAAGGGCGAUCAAUAGCCUCGGCUAAUAGUUCGCUGGGCGCUGGAACAGGGACUUGUCAGAUACACAGGCACGACCCUACGAAAGGCUCAAGUGCAAAGAACAGAAGUUCAGCUGCCUCCAUUUCCAAUGGUGCACAAAGGAAGUAAACAGGAAGGGGGGCUACCCCAAAACUGAAUGCACAC